CUGUAGCUUACACCAACUAAAGCGUGGCACUGAAGAUGUCAAGACGGCUGCCCCAGCAUGCACCCGGGAACA
rnacentral:tRNA from 1 species